AUGAGACUUUGGCUCCAUUUAAUUUUCAUAUUGGCAGCUUUGGAAGGUGCCCGCUCGCAGGUCCAGCUGGUGGAGUCUGGCGGGGAUGUGAAAAAGCCCGGAGACUCUCUCCGCCUCUCCUGCAAAGCCUCCGGGUUCACUUUUACUGACUACGAUAUGAACUGGAUCCGUCAGGCUCCUGGGAAGGGGCUGCAGUGGGUGGCUAGAGUUAGUUCCCCAAGCGGAUCGAGUCAGUGGUAUUCUAAAGCAGUCGAAGGGCGAUUCACCAUCUCCAGAGACAACUCCGUCACCACGGUAUACUUACAAAUGACCGGCCUGAAGCCCGAGGACACCGCCCGGUAUUAUUGUGCCAGAGACACAGUGAGGGGAAGCCGGUCUGAGCUCAGACAAAAACCUCCCCUGCAGACAUAG